rnacentral:rRNA from 1 species
UAAUCCUGGUCGGACAUCAGGAGGUUAGUGCAAUGGCAUAAGCCAGCUUGACUGCGAGCGUGACGGCGCGAGCAGGUGCGAAAGCAGGUCAUAGUGAUCCGGUGGUUCUGAAUGGAAGGGCCAUCGCUCAACGGAUAAAAGGUACUCCGGGGAUAACAGGCUGAUACCGCCCAAGAGUUCAUAUCGACGGCGGUGUUUGGCACCUCGAUGUCGGCUCAUCACAUCCUGGGGCUGAAGUAGGUCCCAAGGGUAUGGCUGUUCGCCAUUUAAAGUGGUACGCGAGCUGGGUUUAGAACGUCGUGAGACAGUUCGGUCCCUAUCUGCCGUGGGCGCUGGAGAACUGAGGGGGGCUGCUCCUAGUACGAGAGGACCGGAGUGGACGCAUCACUGGUGUUCGGGUUGUCAUGCCAAUGGCACUGCCCGGUAGCUAAAUGCGGAAGAGAUAAGUGCUGAAAGCAUCUAAGCACGAAACUUGCCCCGAGAUGAGUUCUCCCUGACCCUUUAAGGGUCCUGAAGGAACGUUGAAGACGACGACGUUGAUAGGCCGGGUGUGUAAGCGCAGCGAUGCGUUGAGCUAACCGGUACUAAUGAACCGUGAGGCUUAACCUUACAACGCCGAAG